CUCUUUCUGGAGAUCCCUUCUUGGUGAAGCUUUCCCCUGUGAACCUGGAAUCUUCUGAUAUGGGCAAAGCAAUGUGUUGCUGAGAAGCUGUGCCUCCUUUUCCUGAUGAGCCUCCAAACCUCCUGUGCUGCGAGUCAGUGAUGAAAUAACCAUCGUCUGCCUGAAGCUUUUAGUGCUGAACGUGAAAAGUUCUCUGGGCUGCCAGCAGGUGGGACCUGUGAUCAAACAGAAUAUAACAACUUGCACCUGGAUUGCAAGGUUGACAUCAAAUCUUUAUCUCAGUCCCUGAUGUGGGGUUGGAGCUAAUCCAAUUGUACCCAUGGCUUUGAAUGGUUAAUAUCCACAUUUGUGUGACUCAGGGAGGGGUGCAGUCAGGUGAAUAUGUGCAAUAAUAAGUUGUGUUAACGGUAGUGUCACCUUCUCCCAUUACAUCUGCUCCCUCAAAAGCUAUGGCGGGACUGUAUUUCCACACAGUCAUAGACAGCCAGGAUUGAAGGAGGACAUCCAGUCUGUGCUCAGCUCAGUAGCUCCUCCUAGCAGCAAAUCUUCUCUCCGAGGUGUAUUGUUUUCACAGUCCCUUCAAGAAGGUGGAAAAAGCAUUUUGCAGAACAAUAAGGAAGUGGAGAGUGUCGUGAAAACACACUCCAGCUGAGUUUUGGCACCAGCAACAGAAAGCUUAAAGAAUCUUGUCCAACUUUUCGUGGCUUUCAAAAUGAGCACUGCAAUGCUGUAAGUCAAGUAACAUUGUCCAACCCUUUUCAUCCUGUUUGUAAUUCCACUAGGGACAUCAUUACAGUAACCAGCUGCUCUGGGAUCCUCUAAUGAAAACUUUGUUUCUGAAUAGAAUAAUUAAAGUUUCAUAUUCAAUUGUCACACAGCUCCGUCUUUGCUCGGUGCAUGGAUGUGAUUAGCCACAGCAAAACCAUUCUGCAGCUUAAACACACAAUUGCAUCUAGUAUAAAAAUGAUUAAUUAGACGACGUGCUGUUUGGGAAGUUUACAAGCAGAUCAAUGAAUAAUGUUUAAGUGAAAAUUUUAUGGCGACGUUACGGGCGCUGCAGGUUGUGCGGAAGCCUUGUUGAUGGCUUACGAAUGCAUGUGUUCAUGUCCCAUAAAGAAGUUCUACGUCAUGAAGACAGGUUUCGCAGUUCUAUAGACUCGGGGAGGAAAAAUCUGAGGUUUUCGGGGUUCUCCAUCUAUAAACGGUUUUUUUUGACAGGAAAUAAUUUAUUUUUUCUCUCUCAAAACAAAGUUCAAAAGAUAGCUUCUACUUUGAAUAGUAACUCAAUUUCUCUUCAAAAAUGGCUUUUCGUCUUGUUUCUUCCCCUUAGUUCUGUUUGUAAGUAGAGCAAUGGAAGGGAAAGAUUU
ensembl:lncRNA